rnacentral:lncRNA from 1 species
AUAAACAUUCCACUCAGACAAUACCUCACCGCCAUCAACAACAAAGGACUAUCAGCCUAAAAUGUCAAGAGUGCUGAGGUGGAGAAACCCUGAUGUGGAUACAUCCAUGCUCAUAAUUGAUUAGGAAUGAGGCAAUACAAUAUUCACUCUCUGAGUUUUUGCAUAUGUUUAUUGUCCUGUCUGAAACACCUCUCCACUCCUCAGCAACCACCCUAUGAAGCGGGUACUAUUUUCUCCCCAUUUUACAGUUGAGACGAACUGAGGCUUAGAGAGAUGAACUAACUUGGCCAAGGUCACACACUUAGUACAUGGCAGAGCUGGUAUCCGAAUCCAGCUUUGUUUACUCUGGAGCCUGUUCUUAAACUGUGUGUGAUACUACUGAUCUUUUUAAAUGAAAUAUAAGUUCUGCAUCUGGCCUAGAUGCCCAGUAAAGUUUAUCUAAGCAGAUAUUAAUACACCAAAUGCACACAGCUACUAAUCCAGUAAGAAAAAAAUAACUUCUUCCUGUCAAUUCGAUCAAGGGUGUUCAAUCUUUUGGCUUCUCUGGCAACACUGGAAGAAGAAGAAUUAUCUUGGGCUACCAUACAAUACAAUAACACUAAUGAUAGCUAAUGAGCUAAAAAAAAGAAUUGCAAAAAUGUCUCAUAAUGUUUUAAGAAAGUUUAUAAGUUUGUGUUGGGCUGCACUGAAAGCCGUCCUGGGCCACAUGUGGACCACAGGCCACGGGUUGAACAAACUUAAAUUAGAUCUUUUCUUUUCAGAUUAUUGAUGAAUGGGAGUACAUCUUCCAUUUAUUGUGUGCUUUCUCUGUGUCAGGCACAAAAGCUUUCUUUCAUUCAAUCCUCCUGCGAACACUCUGCCUGGUUAUUACUAACACAUCUUUAACACAAGGAACCAGAAUCUCAGGGUAACCUAAGCACAACAGCAUUGGGAGUUAAACCAAGAUCAUCUGGGUUUGCCUGCUUGUUUAACUGUACCAGACCACUCAAUUGCUGGUGUUAUGGCCUGAAUGUUUGUGUUCCUGCAACCCCCGACCCCAAAUUCAUAUGUUGAAGCCCUACCUCCAAUGUGAUUGUAUUUGGAGAUGGAGCCUUUGGAAAGUAGUCGAGUCAUGAGGGCAGGGCCCUGGUCUGAUGGAAUUUAGGGCCUUUAGAAGAAAAGACACCAGAGACCUUGAGCCAUCUCUCUCUCCACCAAGUGAGGACACAGCAAGAAGGUGGCCGUCUGCAAGCCAAGAAAAGAACCCUCACCAGAACCCAACCAUGUUGGCACACUGAUCCAGAGUUCCAGCCUCCAGAACUGUGAGAAAAUAAAUUAUUGUUGUUUAAGCACCCACAUUAUGGGUGUCUUAUGGCAGCCCAAGCAGACUAAGAUGGCUGGAAAUUAUAAAAUUGUACCAAAAGAGCAUUGCUUCUUGAAGUUUCUCUAACUUCUUCUGUGAUAACAUGAAUUUUAUCCUCUGUGGUAACAAGAAUUUUACCUAUCAUUCUCUAUGAUAACAAGAAUUUUAUCCUGUUACCUUCGAUGUCCUUAUAAGAAUAUUCUUAAAUGUCUUUCCUAUUUUGGAGCUAGAAUAAAAUAGUCUACGUAAUACACUAAGCAGCAUGUCUAGACAGAGUAGGCCUAUGCAAAUGUUAUGGUGUUGCAAAACAAACAAACAAAAAACCUGUAAGCCUUUUUAGUGUUUAUUGUUUCACUGACAUAUGUUGCAUUAAACAUCUCUUAAAGCUUUCUUCAGGUGCAAUCAGCAAUCAUCAACAUCUUUAUCCCAAUCAUAGCAUGAGACACUGAACCCCAGUAAGCUCUAGUUUUAAAAUUGCCUCAAAUCCUCAAUGGGAUUUACCUCUUGGGGUUGCUAUAGGGUUUACAUGGGACAAUGUUUACACCCAUUAGCACUGUCUUACAAAUAGAAGGUGCACAAUAAUUGCGAUAAGUGUGGUCUGUGGUCUGUGUCCACAAAUGGCUGCAUCCACGUCACUCAGGAGCUUGUUAGAAAAGCAGAAUCCCAGGCCCCACCCCAGACCUAUCAAAUCAAAAUCCAGAUUUUAAAAAGAUUUGCAUCCACAUGAAAUUUGAAAAGCACUUAGUUAAAUUAUUAACAGAAAGAGUGAGUUCAUAAAGACUCAGAAGACUAAGCGCAGAUCCCUGACAAGACACUAGAAACUUCCUUCCAUAACAACAUCUUACAUCUUAAAACAUACAUGAGUUUUGGCUGAGCCCCAUCCCCACCCUAGGCAUCAGCAGGGUAGGAAUCCCCUUACAUGGGCAUCUACCCUCAUCUAUGCACCCAAUUCAUCCCCUUAAUUCCCUUCUUUCUCCAGCCCAGGGAUCUUUACACCAUCAGGGGGCCAGAAAGCUUUCCACUUACUCAUCGAACAUUUUCUGCUCCCCUUUGGGACAGAGCUUUUGAAACUCUAAAGUCAAGAGAAUCUUUUUUUCUGCUUUGUGCCACCACAUUCCUUCCCCCAAAGGUAAUGAACAUAGGCAAGCUAACUAAAUGGGGCCAGGAAAUAAAAGGAAAUAGCCAGGGAAAAAAAUAAAUUAUUAAUUUCAAAAUAGUGCCCUGCCACAUAAAGAACCAAAUGAAUGGUUCCUUAUGAUCAGAGACUGAGGGUGGAUGGAGAGAAGUAUAGCAAUGAGCCAUGAUUUUCUCUCUCUCUCUUUUUGGAGGUAGUAUUCCCUAUCUCCACACUCAUUACCACUGUAUACAGUUUGUUCACCCCUUUCUGCCUCCUUAAGCUGUGCUCAGAAGUCUUUGGGGUAUGUCCUUUCUGCAAAUCUCACACAUACACAAACACACACAUGAAAAACAAACAAACAAACAAAAACCUCUUCAGCUUUCUACAAAUUGGCUCAGGGAAUUACUGUAGACCUUUCCUUCCUACUGUCUGCCAUGUUCCCUGGUGUUUUCUGCUGUUCUUACCCUUAUUCUUCCUAUGUUGGCUCAAAUUCGCCCUGGUUAUAUUUGGAAGAGAUCUCAACUUUCUGCUUCAUCACUGACCCAGAAGUCCCAAAGGAUGUCCUUAUAGGAAUUGCCCAAGCUCCAGGUCCCAAAAAUCCCUCUCCCCAGUGUUCAACCCUGUUUCUUACCACACCACCUCCCGUCUGCUCCGGACUCAGUUUGGGGAAGAAUAAUUACACUCUUCUCUUAGCACAGACCAUAGUCUGCCCUGUGUCAGGGUUAUGCAUGUAUGUGCUUGUCUCCCCUGGGUGGAGAAACUCCAAGACCCAUUCAUCUUCAUAUUCCCCUGCUUAUUCCAGCACUAAUCCAUAGCUGUGCUCAACACAUGAACAGAAUAGACUGGAUUGUGGGGUGAAGUUUUAUUCAGAGUUCCUUCUUUCCUUCUGCCCCUUCAGCUCCCCACUGUUCUCUGAUCCUACCUUGAUUUUAUUUUUGACACUCUGGGCAAAAGUCAGAUCUGUAUGCAAGUAAAAGCAUUACUAUUUCUAAUUGAGCAAGUUAUUUAGCUCCUAUCUUUCAUUUAGUCAUCCACAAAUGAUAGAUAAAUAAAUAUAGGUAGAAGGCACACACCUUCUACCGUGCCUGAUACAUAUUAGCAUUCAAUAAUUGUUAGUUAUCACUAUUGUAGCUUAAAAUUGACCAUGAUGAGAGUAUUUAUACCAUGGAAAUUGGUAAACAUUAUAAAUUUUUUCAGAGAGCUGCUUUACCAGCAAAUGACUAGGCUAGUGCCACAUAUCUAAAUGAUAAUAUUUUGGAUCUAUUAUGGUAAAUAAAACACUAUUACAAUUAAUUUUAUCUGUUUCUUUCAAUUUUUUUGAUAUGACUGCUACAAAACAAAAUUUUCUGAGACAAGGUCUCACUCUGUUGCCCAGGCUGGAGUGGCAUAAUCACGACUCACUGCAGCCUUGAACUCCUGGGCUUAAGCGUCCUCCCACCUCAGCCUCCUGAGUAGCUGGGACACAGGAACGUGCCACCAUGUACAGCUAAUUUUUUUUAUUCUUUGUAGGGACAGGGUCUCCCUAUGUUGCCCAGGCUGAUCUUGAACUCCUGACCUCAAGCAAUCCUCCCGCCUCAGCCUGCCAAAGUGUUGGGAUUAUAGGCGUGAACCACCAUUCCCAGCUGAAAUUUUUGAAUUACCUUGUGAUAUUUGUAUUGGACAGUGCUGGGCUAGAUAGACCCUAACACACAUGGUAGGAUGAUGCCGUCACACCUCUCAGUGUGGUUCCCCAGGUAUUUCUAGGAAUACCAGGGAGCACUCAUAUGCUCCACAAAUUGGUCCAGGCUGAUGCUUGUCACCUCUGUCAGCUGUUCUCUCUCUGAACUGUUGUUCUUCCUGAAUCUUCAGGUCCCUCCCAUGAUCUAAUCACUUUGAUAUUCCAGACUGACCUCUCUAUUUGCUUGUUCCUAUGUGCUGUGGGUUAGGUCCCCUCCACGGGUACUAGAAAUGACUAGUCUCAGCACCCAAGAGCUCAGUACACCAUUUCAAGGGCCACCGCCCACUUCCUCACAGCUUUCAGAUGGCAGUGGGAAAGCCAACUCAGUGCCCAUCAAUGAAAAAAUUCCCAAGACUCCUUAUACUCAGAAGCCCCCUCUCCUUUCACACUCUCUCUUCAGUUACUAUGACCCAGUCUUCCAUCCCUGCCCCAGAUAUGAGGAACAAAAUUCCCCUAAAAUUUAAAAAAAAAAAAUUCCCUACUUCUAACCCUUACAUUACAUCGAAGCUCCUCUAUAAUGUGUAAAAUGUGGCAUUUGGUUAUUGCCAACUUAGCAAAUAUAUAUAAAUUUUUUUUUCAUUGAUCUCUUAGUUACUGCUUAGAAAAAUAAAAGACAGAAAAGUGUAUUCAUUUUCUUUUAUUACUUGUAUAGGAGAUUGGUUAAUACUAACAACUUAUGUAAGCCAUAAGAAACAUAAAAUAUAUGUAAUAGAUUACAUACUAAACUGAGAAAGUCCCAAGUAACCACAAAUUAGUCCCUUUCUAACCUCCUCACACCUUCCCACUCCCACCAAAAGAACUUUAGCUGCAUCAUUUCCCUUGGGAAUAGGGUUGGGCAGAGGAUGAGAGCCAAUUGCCAAUUGUAUUAUAUUCAAAUUCUUUUUUUUUCAUGGAAAAACUGUCUUGUUUAUUUGAUUAAACAAAAAUAAAAUAAGCUUCAUAGGAACAAUUUUAAAGUCCAAAGAGACACCUACUUUGUUUUAAGGCUGUAGUAGCUGAUACAGCAUCUCCUUGCUACCUUCUCUAGCCUUCUCUGUGGACCACAGCAGUACAUUCAGAAGCCUGCUAGCUAACACAGGAGUUUUUGAACACUUUUCCAUUGGUUAAAUUCUUUAUCACUGCAUAAGGGUGGUUAUCUCGAGGUUUUUAUUGACUUAAAUAUAAUCCUCAAGAGACUAGUAAGAAAUACUUGCUUGUAGACCAUUUCACAACACCUGGUUUUCCCUGGAAAUUAGUGACUAUUUACCUUUAAAGAUCAUCUGUUUUGUUGGCUUGAAUGUAGUGAAAAGGGGACACUUUUACACUGCUGGUGGGAAUGUAAACUAGUAGAGAUUCCGUAAAGAACUAAAAGUAGAACUACCAUUUGAUCCAACAAUCUCACUACUGGGUAUCUCCCCACAGGAAAAGAAGUCAUUAUAUGAAAAAGACACUUGGACACACAUGUUUAUAGCAGCACAAUUCACAACUGCAAAAAUAUGGAACCAGCUCAAAUGCCCAUCAAUCAACAAGUGGAUAAAGAAAUUGUGAUACACACACACACACACACACACACACACCAUGCAAUACUACUCAGCCAUAAAAAUGAAUGAAAUAAUGGCAUUUGCAGCAAUCUGGAUGAAAUUAGAGGCCAUUAUUAUAAGUGAACUAACCCAGGAAUGGAAAACCAAACAUUGUAUGUUCUUGCUCAUAAGUGGGAGCUAAGCUUUGAGGAUGCAAUGGCAUAAGAAUGAUACAAUGGACUUUGAGGACUCAAGGGAAAUGGUGGGAGGGGCUGAGGGAUAAAAGACUAAACAUUGGGUACAGCGUACACUGCUCGGGUGAUGGGUGCACCAAAGUCUCAGAAAUUGCCACUACAGAACUUAUCCAUGUAACCAAACAAAACCUGUUCCCCAAAAACCUAUUAAAAUAAAAAAAAAUUGUAAAGACUAAAAAAAAAAUCUAUUCACCUUCCCAAAACAAAGGGAUUUUAUUCAAAGUGGUUUCUUUGCAGUAGAAACUCAGCAACCUUCAAAUAUCGUUCUCUUGAUGAAAAUAAAGUUUUUUUUAAAAAAAAGCAAAAUUUCUUCUGCUACUCUGAGCCCCCAGAUAAAACUGAAUUGGAUCUCAGGGCUCAGAAUAUUUCUCUUAGCAAAAACUCAAGGAGCAGUUAAAAGAUAAAGGAAAUUAACCUGUUUUAAACAUAGGUAGGUACUGCACACAAGCUUUGAAUUUUGCUUACUUUGCUCAUUUGCACAUUUUUUCAUUACUAAAAACUAUUUAUUCAGUUCCUCCUAAAGAGCAAAUACAGUGCCUACUCUCUUAGAGUUUAUAUUCCUGUUGGAGAAAAUAGACAAUAACUGUAUGCACAGAAAAAUGAAUAAUCUUAGUGUUAUGGACUGAAUAUUUAUGUUCUCCAAAAAUUCAUAUGUGGAAGCCUUAAUCCCCAAUGUGAUGGUAUUUGGAGGCUUUGGUAUGUAAUUAGGUCAUGAGGGUGGGGGUGCCAUGAUGAACUUAGUGCCCUUACUAGAAAAGACACAAGAAAGAUGAUCCCUCUGCCAUGUGAGGAUACAGCAAGAAGGUGGCUAUCUACAAAUCUGGACGAAGGCCCUCACCAGACAAUGAAUCUUCUGGCACCUUGAUAUUGAACUUCCUAGUUCUCCAGAACUAUGAAAUAUAAAUGUUGUUUAAGCCACCCAAACUAUAGGAUUCUGUUAUAGCUGCCUGAACUGACGAAGACAAUUAAAAAGUGGUUAAAUGCUGUGACCCACAUACUCACACUCACCAAAAAAAAUAAAAUAAACAAACCCAAAACCCACAGAGUAAUGAAAUAGACAGGGACAAGAAGGGGCAUCACUUUGAUUGGGCCAUCAAAGGCCUCUCUGUGGAGAUGAUAGUGGAGCAAAGCCU